GUGCACCACUUGUACAGCGUCGUUUCUGUGCGCUGUCCGCGCCGGCAUGGCGACUGCGCGCGACGUUUUGUUAGCC
rnacentral:sRNA from 1 species